UUUAUAAUCUGGCACCUUCGGUGUCCGAGUUGUAAUCUCUAGAAAUGUUUUCCGCGUUGGACCGCACACAAGUCUGUUGGAAUACAGCGGCAUAGUGGUGAGACCCCCGUAUAUGGUGCGGACGCCCAGCGCUUUGUGAUACAUUUUCGAAGAGUCGAGUUGUUUGGGAAUGCAGCUCAAAUUGGGUGGUAAAUUCCAUCUAAAGCUAAAUAUUGGCGAGAGACCGAUAGCGAACAAGUACCGUGAGGGAAAGAUGAAAAGCACUUUGGAAAGAGAGUUAACAGUACGUGAAAUUGUUGGAAGGGAAACGCUUGAAGUCAGACUUGCUUGCCGAGCAAUCGGUUUGCAGGCCAGCAUCAGUUUUCCGGGAUGGAUAAUGGUAGAGAGAAGGUAGCAGUUUCGGCUGUGUUAUAGCUCUCUGCUGGAUACAUCUUGGGGGACUGAGGAACGCAGUGUGCCUUUUGGCGGGGGUUUCGACCUCUUCACACUUAGGAUGCUGGUGGAAUGGCUUUAAACGACCCGUCUUGAAACACGGACCAAGGAGUCUAACAUGCUUGCGAGUAUUUGGGUGUCAAACCCGGAUGCGUAAUGAAAGUGAAUGGAGGUGGGAACCGCAAGGUGCACCAUCGACCGAUCUGGAUUUUUAAUGAUGGAUUUGAGUAAGAGCACGUAUGUUGGGACCCGAAAGAUGGUGAACUAUGCCUGAAUAGGGCGAAGCCAGAGGAAACUCUGGUGGAGGCUCGUAGC
rnacentral:rRNA from 1 species